GACGAACGCUGGCGGCGUGCUUAACACAUGCAAGUCGAACGGAAAGGCCCUGCUUUUGUGGGGGGCUCGAGUGGCGAACGGGUGAGUAACACGUGAGUAACCUGCCCUUGACGUUGGGAUAACUUCAGGAAACUGGGGCUAAUACCGGAUAGGAGCGCCGGCUGCAUGGUGGGGGUUGGAAAGUUUCGGCGGUUGGGGAUGGACUCGGGGCUAAUCAGCUUGUUGGUGGGGUAGUGGCUUACCAGGGCUUUGGUGGGUAGCCGGCCUGGGAGGGUGACCGGCCACAAUGGGACUGAGAGACGGCGCAGACUCCUACGGGAGGCAGCAGGGGGGAAUAUUGCACAAUGGGCGGAAGCCUGAUGCAGCAACGCCGCGUGCGGGAUGACGGCCUUCGGGUUGUAAACCGCUUUCGCCUGUGACGAAGCGUGAGUGACGGUAAUGGGUAAAGAAGCACCGGCUAACUACGUG
rnacentral:rRNA from 1 species